GUGCCAGCAGCCGCGGUAAUACGAACCGUCCAAACGUUAUUCGGAAUCACUGGGCUUACAGAGUUCGUAGGCGGCGGAGAAAGUAGGGUGUGAAAGCCCUCGGCUCAACCGAGGAAUUGCGCCCUAAACUACUUCGCUUGAGGAGGCUAGAGGUGAGCAGAACUGAUGGUGGAGCGGUGAAAUGCGUUGAUAUCAUCAGGAAUACCGGAGGCGAAGGCGGCUCACUGGGACCUUUCUGACGCUGAGGAACGAAAGCUAGGGGAGCGAACGGGAUUAGAUACCCCGGUAGUCC
rnacentral:rRNA from 1 species